rnacentral:lncRNA from 1 species
UAACUGAGUAAGAUAUGUUGAGCCACUGACGUCCGAUGACCAUGCAUCACCUCAGUCAGAAAUGAAAAGGAGGCGCUCAGUCCCAGAACCACCCAGCCACAGAGCAGCAAGGACUUGGUAUAUUGUCCCGUUUGAGAGUGGAGGUGGUAGAGGAGGUGGUGGUGGGUGUAUCGGGAGUCUAAAAACUGAAGAACACACUAGUAAGCCAGGAG